rnacentral:rRNA from 1 species
CAGUAGCCACGGGAAUACGGAGGGAGCUAGCGUUGUUCGGAAUUACUGGGCGUAAAGCGCACGUAGGCGGUUAUUCAAGUCAGAGGUGAAAGCCCGGGGCUCAACCCCGGAACUGUCUUUGAAACUAGAUGACUGGAAUCUUGGAGAGGUCAGUGGAAUUCCGAGUGUAGAGGUGAAAUUCGUAGAUAUUCGGAAGAACACCAGUGGCGAAGGCGACUGACUGGACAAGUAUUGACGCUGAGGUGCGAAAGCGUGGGGAGCAAACAGGAUUAGAUACCCCUGUAGUCCCUGUCUCUUAUAC